UAAUACGGAGGGUGCAAGCGUUAAUCGGAAUUACUGGGCGUAAAGCGCACGCAGGCGGUUUGUUAAGUCAGAUGUGAAAUCCCCGAGCUUAACUUGGGAACUGCAUUUGAAACUGGCAAGCUAGAGUCUUGUAGAGGGGGGUAGAAUUCCAGGUGUAGCGGUGAAAUGCGUAGAGAUCUGGAGGAAUACCGGUGGCGAAGGCGGCCCCCUGGACAAAGACUGACGCUCAGGUGCGAAAGCGUGGGGAGCAAACAGGAUUAGAUACCCUGGUAGUCCACACUGUAAACGAUGUCGACUUGGAGGUUGUGCCCUUGAGGCGUGGCUUCCGGAGCUAACGCGUUAAGUCGACCGCCUGGGGAGUACGGCCGCAAGGUUAAA
rnacentral:rRNA from 1 species